AAUCAACGCUGGCGGCGUGCCUAACACAUGCAAGUCGCACGAGAAAGGGGAGCAAUCCCCGAGUAAAGUGGCGCACGGGUGAGUAACACGUGACUAACCUACCCUCGAGUGGGGAAUAACCUAGAGAAAUCUGGGCUAAUACCGCAUAACACUUACGAGUCAAAGCAGCAAUGCGCUUGAGGAGGGGGUCGCGGCAGAUUAGCUAGUUGGCGGGGUAAUGGCCCACCAAGGCAAUGAUCUGUAUCCGGCCUGAGAGGGCGCACGGACACACUGGAACUGAAACACGGUCCAGACUCCUACGGGAGGCAGCAGUGGGGAAUUUUGCGCAAUGGGGAAACCCUGACGCAGCAACGCCGCGUGGAGGAUGAAAUCCCUUGGGAUGUAAACUCCUUUCGAUAGGGAAGAUAAUGACGGUACCUAUAGAAGAAGCCCCGGCUAACUUCGUG
rnacentral:rRNA from 1 species